rnacentral:rRNA from 1 species
GUCGAGAAUAAUUCACAAUGGGGGAAACCCUGAUGGUGCAACGCCGCGUGGAGGAUGAAGGUCUUCGGAUUGUAAACUCCUGUCAUUCGAGAGUAAGACCUGACGGUGAUUAGCCGGCAGGGUUGAUAGUAUCGGAAGAGGCAGGGACGGCUAACUUCGUGCCAGCAGCCGCGGUAAUACGGAGGGUGCAAGCGUUAUCCGGAAUCACUGGGUUUAAAGGGUACGUAGGCGGUUAAUUAAGUCAGUAGUGAAAGACUGUCGCUCAACGACGGAUGUGCUAUUGAUACUGGUUAACUUGAAUCAGGUUAGAGUUGGCGGAAUGGGUCAUGUAGCGGUGAAAUGCUUAGAUAUGAAUUGGAAAACAGAUAGCGAAGGCAGCUGACUGGGCCGUGAUUGACGCUGGGGUACGAAAGUGUGGGUAGCGAACAGGAUUAGAAACCCCUGUAGUCC